GGGGGGGGGAGAAGGGGGAGAACCCCAGGGAGGCCCGACCGGUAAGAAGCAAACAACAAAGAGUGUCACCUUAUUGCAACCAUUUAUCCUACCCGACUCAUAGUUGCCCAUUCUCAAGGGGAGGUGAGUCUGGAAGAGGCUGUCUCUAACUCAUCUUUGUGUUGCCCUGAGUGGUACUAUGUCAGGUAUGUAUGCUUGGUCCUGCCCACAGUCCCAAUCACUAACUGUACUAUUGAUCCAAGGGUCCCAAAUCUUUUCAAAUUUCUUUGUAGUCCCUCUGACCUGAGCUGUCAGUUUGUCC